rnacentral:tRNA from 1 species
GCCUCUAUAGCUCAGCUGGUAGAGCGUUCGCUUCGUAAGCGAAAGGUCCUGAGUUCGAACCUCAGUGGAGGCA